AAAGGAAUUGACGGGGGCCCGCACAAGCAGCGGAGCAUGUGGUUUAAUUCGAAGCAACGCGAAGAACCUUACCAGGUCUUGACAUCCAGUAAAAGCUGUAGAGAUACAGUGUGCUUUUGGGCAUACUGAGACAGGUGGUGCAUGGUUGUCGUCAGCUCGUGUCGUGAGAUGUUGGGUUAAGUCCCGCAACGAGCGCAACCCCUAUUAUUAGUUACUAACAAGUGAAGUUGAGGACUCUAAUGAGACCGCCGGGGACAACUCGGAGGAAGGUGGGGACGACGUCAAAUCAUCAUGCCCCUUAUGACCUGGGCUACACACGUGCUACAAUGGCCACUACAGAGAGAAGCGAGAACGCGAGUUGGAGCGAAUCUCAAAAAAGUGGUCUCAGUUCGGAUUGUAGGCUGCAACCCGCCUACAUGAAGCCGGAGUUGCUAGUAAUCGCGGAUCAGCACGCCGCGGUGAAUACGUUCCCGGGCCUUGUACACACCGCCCGU
rnacentral:rRNA from 1 species